rnacentral:rRNA from 1 species
UACGGAGGAGGCAAGCGUUAUCCGGAAUUAUUGGGCGUAAAGCGUCCGUAGGUGGCUCUCUCAAGUCUGCGGUCAAAGACCGGGGCUCAACCCUGGAAAGGCCGUGGAAACUGGUGAGCUAGAGUGCGGUAGGGGCAGAGGGAAUUCCCAGUGUAGCGGUGAAAUGCGUAGAGAUUGGGAAGAACACCGGUGGCGAAAGCGCUACUGCUGGGCCGCAACUGACACUAAUGGACGAAAGCUAGGGGAGACGAAUGGGAUUAAGGAAACCCUUGAGUGAGAUGCCCAGUACCAAAGUUCUCU